rnacentral:rRNA from 1 species
AUGUGGCUUACGAACCCAACCCAACCCGCACCCACACCGAACCCAACACGCGCGCGCAUUAGAAAAUUCGUCCCGACCCCGAGGCCUCGCCCGGCCCGCUCCCACUGCCCGCGGGCCCCGCACGCCACCUCCCCCCUUAACCUCCGGUGCGCAGCUGCCAGACUCCCUCCUCUCCUUCUCCCUCGCAGACGCGGUGGCUCAUCCUCCCUCGGAGAAGGCGCGCACCGGCCGGUGGUGGAGAGAGGGGGAGGGUGGGAGAAGCGGCCGUAUAAGGAUCUCUCCGCGCUCUCUCGUCUCUCUCCGGUUUUGUAUCUAUCUUCUAUCUACCUACGUACGGUUCGUGGGCCGGGCUGA